rnacentral:rRNA from 1 species
UAGGGAAUAUUAGUAAUGGGCGCAAGCCUGAACUAGCAACGCCGCGUGUGCGAAGAAGGCCUUCGGGUUGUAAAGCACUUUUUGAGAGGAUGAGGAAGGACGGUACUCUCAGAAUAAGUCUCGGCUAAUUACGUGCCAGCAGCCGCGGUAACACGUAGGAGGCAAACGUUAUCCGGAUUUACUGGGCGUAAAGCGCGUGUAGGUGGUUGGUAAGUAGGGCGUGAAAGCUCCUGGCUCAACUGGGAGAGGCCGUUCUAAACUGCCGAACUAGAGGAUGGUAGAGGGAGGUGGAAUUCCGGGUGUAGCGGUGGAAUGCGCAGAUAUCCGGAGGAACACCAGUGGCGAAAGCGGCCUCCUGGACCAUUCCUGACACUCAGACGCGAAAGCUAGGGUAGCAAACGG